AGCGGCGAGCGAAACGGGAAGAGCCCAAACCAAAAAGCUUGCUUGUUGGGGUUGUAGGACACUCUAUACGGAGUUACAAAGGACGACAUUAGACGAAUCAUCUGGAAAGAUGAAUCAAAGAAGGUAAUAAUCCUGUAGUCGAAAAUGUUGUCUCUCUUGAGUGGAUCCUGAGUACGACGGAGCACGUGAAAUUCCGUCGGAAUCUGGGAGGACCAUCUCCUAAGGCUAAAUACUCUCUAGUGACCGAUAGUGAACCAGUACCGUGAGGGAAAGGUGAAAAGCACCCCGGAAGGGGAGUGAAAUAGAACCUGAAACCGUGUGCUUACAAGUAGUCAGAGCCCGUUAAUGGGUGAUGGCGUGCCUUUUGUAGAAUGAACCGGCGAGUUACGAUUUGAUGCAAGGUUAAGCAGUAAAUGUGGAGCCGUAGCGAAAGCGAGUCUGAAUAGGGCGUUUAGUAUUUGGUCGUAGACCCGAAACCAGGUGAUCUACCCUUGGUCAGGUUGAAGUUCAGGUAACACUGAAUGGAGGACCGAACCGACUUACGUUGAAAAGUGAGCGGAUGAACUGAGGGUAGCGGAGAAAUUCCAAUCGAACCUGGAGAUAGCUGGUUCUCUCCGAAAUAGCUUUAGGGCUAGCCUCAAGUGAUGAUUAUUGGAGGUAGAGCACUGUUUGGACGAGGGGCCCCUCUCGGGUUACCGAAUUCAGACAAACUCCGAAUGCCAAUUAAUUUAACUUGGGAGUCAGAACAUGGGUGAUAAGGUCCGUGUUCGAAAGGGAAACAGCCCAGACCACCAGCUAAGGUCCCAAAAUAUAUGUUAAGUGGAAAAGGAUGUGGCGUUGCCCAGACAACUAGGAUGUUGGCUUAGAAGCAGCCAUCAUUUAAAGAGUGCGUAAUAGCUCACUAGUCGAGUGACACUGCGCCGAAAAUGUACCGGGGCUAAACAUAUUACCGAAGCUGUGGAUUGUCCUUUGGACAAUGGUAGGAGAGCGUUCUAAGGGCGUUGAAGCAUGAUCGUAAGGACAUGUGGAGCGCUUAGAAGUGAGAAUGCCGGUGUGAGUAGCGAAAGACGGGUGAGAAUCCCGUCCACCGAUUGACUAAGGUUUCCAGAGGAAGGCUCGUCCGCUCUGGGUUAGUCGGGUCCUAAGCUGAGGCCGACAGGCGUAGGCGAUGGAUAACAGGUUGAUAUUCCUGUACCACCUAUAAUCGUUUUAAUCGAUGGGGGGACGCAGUAGGAUAGGCGAAGCGUGCGAUUGGAUUGCACGUCUAAGCAGUAAGGCUGAGUAUUAGGCAAAUCCGGUACUCGUUAAGGCUGAGC
rnacentral:rRNA from 1 species